GAUGAACGCUGGCGGCGUGCCUAAUACAUGCAAGUCGAGCGAACAGAUGAUGAGCUUGUUCCUCUGACGUUAGCGGCGGACGGGUGAGUAACACGUGGAUAACCUACCUAUAUGACUGGUAUAAUUUCGGGAAACCGGAUCUAAUACCGGAUAAUAUAUUGAACCGCAUGGUUCAAUAGUGAAAGACGGUUUUGCGGUCUCUUAUAGAUGGAUCCGCGCCGCAUUAGCUAGUUGGUAAGGUAACGGCUUACCAAGGCAACGAUGCGUGGCCGACCUGAGAGGGUGAUCGGCCACACUAGAACUGAGCCACGGUCCAGAGUCCUACGGGAGGCAGCAGAAGGGAAUCUUCCGCAACGGGCGAAAGCCUGACGGAGCAACGCCGCGUGAGUGAUAAAGGUCUUCGGAUCGUAAUACUCUGUUAUUAGGGAAGAACAAAUGUGUAAGUAACUAUGCACGUCUUGACGGUACCUAAUCAGAAAGCCACGGCUAACUACGUG
rnacentral:rRNA from 1 species